UCUACCCCCCCCCCCAGGUGACAGAGAGGAGAGAGGCUGUCUCUACACUCAGUGUUCUGACCUACAAACAUCUGAAUGACUGAUAGCCUGACAUC
ensembl:snoRNA LOC120098394 small nucleolar RNA SNORA17